AGGUGUGUAGGUGUGUGUGAGUGUGUAUCAGGUGUGUAGAUGUGUGUGUGAGUGUGUAUCUAACACACACCUGGUUGUGUGUCUGCAGGUGGUCCUGACCGUGUACCUGAGCAACAACGAGCAGCACUUCAGUGAAGUCCCCAUCACGCCGGAGACGCUGUGCCGGGACGUGGUGGAGCUCUGCAGGGAGCCCGGCGAGGCCCACUGCUACCUGGCCCAGGUGUGGAGGGGCUCAGAGCUCGUGGUUGGAGAAGGCGAGCGGAUGUCGGAGGUGUUGCAGCGAGGGGGGCAGCAGAGGGGGGAGGUCCGGUACCUGCUGCGUCACCAGAGACCUCCGGGACCAGAGACGGGUGGAUCCAGACCGGCUGAUCAGGUGAAGAGGAACCAGAACCUGAAAGCGUGUGUGGAGAACGGGGUGAGACGCCGGUGGUCAACCUGCA